GACGAACGCUGGCGGCGUGCUUAACACAUGCAAGUCGAACGGAAAGGCCCUGCUUUUGUGGGGUGCUCGAGUGGCGAACGGGUGAGUAACACGUGAGUAACCUGCCCUUGACUUUGGGAUAACUUCAGGAAACUGGGGCUAAUACCGGAUAGGAGCUCCUGCUGCAUGGUGGGGGUUGGAGAGUUUCGGCGGUUGGGGAUGGACUUGCGGGUUAUCAGCUUGUUGGUGGGGUAGUGGCUUACCAAGGCUUUGACGGGUAGCCGGCCUGAGAGGGUGACCGGCCACAUGGGGACUGAAAUACGGCCCAGACGGCUACGGGAGGCAGCAGUGGGGAAUAUUGCACAAUGGGCGGAAGCCUGAUGCAGCAACGCCGCGUGCGGGAGAACGGCCUUCUGGUUGUAAACCGCUUUCGCCUGUGACGAGGCGUGAGUGACGGUAAUGGGUAAAGAAGCACCGGCUAACUACGUG
rnacentral:rRNA from 1 species